rnacentral:rRNA from 1 species
GACGAACGCUGGCGGCGUGCUUAACACAUGCAAGUCGAACGGAAAGGCCCUGCUUUUGUGGGGUGCUCGAGUGGCGAACGGGUGAGUAACACGUGAGUAACCUGCCCUUGACUUUGGGAUAACUUCAGGAAACUGGGGCUAAUACCGGAUAGGAGCUCCUGCUGCAUGGUGGGGGUUGGAAAGUUUCGGCGGUUGGGGAUGGACUCGCGGCUUAUCAGCUUGUUGGUGGGGUAGUGGCUUACCAAGGCUUUGACGGGUAGCCGGCCUGAGAGGGUGACCGGCCACAUGGGGACUGAGAUACGGCCCAGACGCCUACGGGAGGCAGCAGUGGGGAAUAUUGCACAAUGGGCGGAAGCCUGAUGCAGAAACGCCGCGUGCGGGAUGACGGCCUUCGGGUUGUAAACCGCUUUCGCCUGUGACGAAGCGUGAGUGACGGUAAUGGGUAAAGAAGCACCGGCUAACUACGUG